GACGAACGCUGGCGGCGUGCUUAACACAUGCAAGUCGAGCGGAAAGGCCCUGCUUUUGUGGGGUGCUCGAGUGGCGAACGGGUGAGUAACACGUGAGUAACCUGCCCUUGACUUUGGGAUAACUUCAGGAAACUGGGGCUAAUACCGGAUAGGAGCUCCUGCUGCAUGGUGGGGGUUGGAAAGUUUCGGCGGUUGGGGAUGGACUCGCGGCUUAUCAGCUUGUUGGUGGGGUAGUGGCUUACCAAGGCUUUGACGGGUAGCCGGCCUGAGAGGGUGACCGGCCACAUUGGGACUGAGAUACGGCCCAGACUCCUACGGGAGGCAGCAGUGGGGAAUAUUGCACAAUGGGCGGAAGCCUGAUGCAGCAACGCCGCGUGCGGGAUGACGGCAUUCGGGUUGUAAACCGCUUUCGCCUGUGACGAAGCGUGAGUGACGGUAAUGGGUAAAGAAGCACCGGCUAACUACGUG
rnacentral:rRNA from 1 species